AAUAGAUACCCGGGUAGUCCACGCCGUAAACGAUGAGUGCUAAGUGUUAGAGGGUUUCCGCCCUUUAGUGCUGAAGUUAACGCAUUAAGCACUCCGCCUGGGGGGUACGGCCGCAAGGCUGAAACUCAAAGGAAUUGACGGGGGCCCGCACGAAGCGGUGGAGCAUGUGGUUUAAUUCGAAGCAACGCGAAGAACCUUACCAGGUCUUGACAUCCUCUGAAAACCCUAGAGAUAGGGCUUCUCCUUCGGGAGCAGAGUGACAGGUGGUGCAUGGUUGUCGUCAGCUCGUGUCGUGAGAUGUUGGGUUAAGUCCCGCAACGAGCGCAACCCUUGAUCUUAGUUGCCAUCAUUAAGUUGGGCACUCUAAGGUGACUGCCGGUGACAAACCGGAGGAAGGUGGGGAUGGACGUCAAAUCAUCAUGCCCCUUAUGACCUGGGCUACACACGUGCUACAAUGGACGGUACAAAGAGCUGCAAGACCGCGAGGUGGAGCUAAUCUCAUAAAACCCGUUCUCAGUUCGGAUUGUAGG
rnacentral:rRNA from 1 species